rnacentral:rRNA from 1 species
ACGCUCGACACCUACUGGAGGCAGCAGUGGGGAAUAUUGCACAAUGGGGGAAACCCUGAUGCAGCGACGCCGCGUGAGCGAAGAAGUAUUUCGGUAUGUAAAGCUCUAUCAGCAGGGAAGAAACUGACGGUACCUGACUAAGAAGCACCGGCUAAAUACGUGCCAGCAGCCGUGGUAAUCUGAGCGGGCUGGCAAGGC